GGAGUGAUGGCUCAGUGGUUAAGAGCACUGGCUGUUCUUCCGGAGGACCUGGGUUCAGAUCCCAGCACUUCC
rfam:Rattus norvegicus chromosome 3, whole genome shotgun sequence.